rnacentral:rRNA from 1 species
GAUGAACGCUGGCGGCGUGCCUAAUACAUGCAAGUCGAGCGAACGGACGAGAAGCUUGCUCCUCUGAGGUUAGCGGCGGACGGGUGAGUAACACGUGGAUAACCUACCUAUAAGACUGGGAUAACUUCGGGAAACCGUAGCUAAUACCGGAUAAUAUUUUGAACCGCAUGGUUCAAAAGUGAAAGACGGUUUUGCUGUCACUUAUAGAUGGAUCCGCGCUGCAUUAGCUAGUUGGUAAGGUAACGGCUUACCAAGGCAACGAUGCGUAGCCGACCUGAGAGGGUGAUCGGCCACACUGGAACUGAGACACGGUCCAGACUCCUACGGGAGGCAGCAGUAGGGAAUCUUCCGCAAUGGGCGAAAGCCUGACGGAGCAACGCCGCGUGAGUGAUGAAGGUCUUCGGAUCGUAAAACUCUGUUAUUAGGGAAGAACAUAUGUGUAAGUAACUGUGCACGUCUUGACGGUACCUAAUCAGAAAGCCACGGCUAACUACGUG